rnacentral:rRNA from 1 species
UUGUUCGGAAUUACUGGGCGUAAAGGGCGCGUAGGCGGCUUACCAAGUCAGGCGUGAAAUUCCCGGGCUCAACCUGGGGGCUGCGCUUGAUACUGGUGAGCUUGAAUGCGGGAGAGGAUAGUGGAAUUCCCAGUGUAGAGGUGAAAUUCGUAGAUAUUGGGAAGAACACCGGUGGCGAAGGCGGCUAUCUGGCCCGUAAUUGACGCUGAGGCGCGAAAGCGUGGGGAGCAAACAGG